AAGCAACCCAGAGCCCUCCUCCCGCCUGCUCUGUGUAGGAGACAGCCUGCGGAGCCCACUGCCGGCGCGCAGAGAGCCCAGCAGCUCUUGAGUCCAGGAAGCAAGGGUGGGAGGAGGGACGAGCCAGUGGCAAUGACCCAGACCCGGACGACCCCCAUUGCUGAGCCAGCGGAGCUGCUUGCCUGGAGUGCGAUGGCACAAUCUCAGCUCACUGCAACAUCCGCCUCCUGGGUUCAAGCAAUUCUCCUGCCUCAACCCCCCGAGUAGCUGGGAUUACAGGCACACGCCACCAUGCCCAGCUAAUUUUGUAUUUUUAGUAGAGACGGGGUUUUUCUCCAUGUUGGUCAUGUGUCCGGAAUUGAUGGGUUCUUGGUCUCACUGACUUCGAGAAUGAAGCGCGGACCCUCACGGGUCCACGAGGCUGGUGUCAGACCUAUUGGGAGACCCUCUGCGUUAGUGAGAAAAACGGCAAGAAAUGGGAGCACGCGGAAACCUCCAAGACUAGAGCCACCAGAUGCCACCGACAGCACGCAGCUGGACCAGCACGGGGGAGGGCCUUCGUGGGUCGAGAGCUCGCUCGGGAGAUAGUUGGUGCUUUUCUUUCAGGAGAAGAAUCCCUGGCGGAGUCUGACCGUUCUCUGGCGCACAGCCCCGGGGGUGGGCACAGCAGCCGCCCCUGCUGAAGGGACUGACGCCUCCGACGACCAGCAGCCAAGUUAAACGCACUGUUCCGUGAGCAGCUUUGUUGGAGACAGCGCGGUUCACAUUCUCUUCCAACGGAGCCGCUGACUGCGGAGCUGGGAGGGGACGUGACAGAACCCAGCCAUCCAACGUCCCCCCACCCCUCCCCAGCUGGGACCUCCGGCUGCUUCCGGGCUGCGCUGGGUGGCGUCAAGGAGCCGCCCCUCUGGGCCGCGUCCCUCCCUCACGCCCUGCACACUGGCCCUGUGUGGCCGGCGGGGCGCCUAAAAGGGCGGAAGGAUGCAGGGGCGGAGGGGGCUCGGGAUUGCACGCCUAGCUCAGACCCCCCAGCCAGGACCCCUCGCGCUGUUGGACACGCCAGCCUCCCGACCCUGCGGCUCCUACGGGAGGUGACAAGGACCCUGCCAACCUGGCCUGAAUGGCCCAGUUUGAUACAGAUCAGGUUUUCAAUGAAUGAGACCGCGGUGUGGUCUAGGCGGAGGGAUGAGAGGAGGGGAUUCUGCUGGGAUAAGUGGGGGCGGGGUAAGGAGGGGAUUCUUUUCCUGGGCUGAGGAGAACGCAGGGACAAAGUACACAGGGGUAGUUGAGUGAGCAGGUGAGGCCCUAGGCUGGUUCCCCACCUUCUCAGGAUCGGAGCCACUCACUUCCUGGUACUCUCUGCAGUCUCCUGGCGUUAAAUAACAUCCCUUUGCUGGAGACUCUGGAUUCACAUCCAUAAUCGCAGCCUCCCCUACUCAUCCCCUCACGCUUCCCAUGAACUAACCUUGAAGGACCCGACCAGAGCCCUGACCUCCGUCCCACACACCUGCUACAUGGAAGGUGUUCUCCACAUCAGUUCAAGGCAGUGUCACUCUUCAGGAUGUUCAGGCUCUAAACCUUGGACUCCUCCUCCAGAUUUCUCUCUCCUUCCUUCUCCUUGUCUCUCCCUUGCACUUACGGUUCACUUUUCCUUCGUAGCUUUGUAGCUCAUUCCCCCUUCCACUUUCCACACCACCUUCUGGUCUGUUAAUUAAAUAUUACCUGGUUUCCACUGACACCUUCCCUGGGUUCCCAAUUGAAAAUCACAACAUCAUCCUCCUCCUCUGCUUUUUUUCUCCAAAUUAUAUCCUCACCCAAUUAUGUGUUAUUCUCAUUAAUCUUGCUUAAUUAAUUAGCAGACAUUAUUAAUGCCUGUUUCCCCUAUCACCACCACUAGACUAUGAACUCCUAAGGACUCCUUCCUUCCACCACUGUUGUACUCGCUUCACCUAGAACUGCUUGGCACAUACAAUGUGCUCCAUAAAUAUUUGUUGAAUGAAAGACUAGACACAACUUAGGAUUCACUCCCCCAUGUGGCAUCCAUAAGCCCUGUAUGCAGGUAAAAUGUCAGUGGGUUGACUAAAUACUGGAAGUGGAAAAAACUUCACCUCUUUGGUUUGCAGUUGUCUAGGAUAUUUAGGCCAAUGGAAAAUCCAGUUUUCCUUAGAAUUAAGCCAGUGCCGCCAGACUUGCCAGUUUACCAUGCUUGUCUGACUGGUCCUCAGCAUGGGUCAUACGUGUCCAAUGAAUUCAAACAAAAUCUUGAGAAGACACGAACCUUGCCCUUCGGCUGGGCGCGGUGGCUCACGCCUGUAAUCCCAGCACUUUGGGAGGCCGAGGCAGGCGGAUCACGAGGUCAGGAGAUCGAGACCAUCCUGGCUAACAUGGUGAAACCCCGUCUCUACUAAAAAUACAAAAAAUUAGCCGAGCGUGGUGGCGGGCGCCUGUAGUCCCAGCUACUCAGGAGGCUGAGGCAGGAGAAUGGCGUGAACCCGGGAGGCGGAGCUUGCAGUGAGUGAGCCGAGAUCGCACCCCUGCACUCCAGCCUGGGCGACAGAGCGAGACUCCGUAAAAAAACAAAAAAAAAACCUUGCCCUUCAUUCCCCAUUUCUAUCAUAAUCUACACAGAGUUUUGAACAGGCAUUUUAAAAUCAACAAUAUAUUAUUUACAAUUUUGUUAGUAUACAUAACUCUAACUCACUGUUAAAAAUCACCUGUCUUUAUAUCCAUUAAAUGACACUUGCAUAUGCUCCAA
rnacentral:lncRNA from 1 species